UGCUCAAUGAGGAGUUAAAUAGCCGCAGUACCCUGACUGUGCAAAGGUAGCGUAAUCAGUUGUCUUUUAAUUAAAGUCUCGUAUAAACGAAUAUAUGGGGGCCCCCUUUACCUGUGACAUAAAUCGAAAUUGCUAAAUGAGUGCAAAUACUCAUAUUAAUAAAUAGACGAGAAGACCCUAGAAAUUUUUAUCAUCUUUUUGUUGGGGCAACAUAGUACCAAGUAAUUUACUAUAUGUACAUGAAAUAGAUUAGGCAGCCUAAAUUACUCUAGGGAUAACAGCAUAAUUUAGUAACGUUUGUGACCUCGAUGUUGGAUUAGGAAGUUAUAACUUAAAAGGCCAUU
rnacentral:rRNA from 1 species